AAGUCGUCAUUGAUAAGCCUGUGCGGACUGCAGAGGCUAAUCUGGGACGAUUUUUUACGCCCAUGCAUUAACGCGCUAUUGAAUUGUACAUCUUAAAUGAUAGUUGUGAAGUAAACAAUGUUCGUCGGGCUAGAUAGAUUGCACAAUGUCAUAUUUUUGUUAUCUUAUCAUAUAAAGAAACAGCCAGAUAAUUAAUAGUUUUUUUAUCUUCAUAAUGUCUACACAAACUUAAAAACACAAAAUUGCUUAUUAAUAAUUUCAGAUUUUCUUUUCAUAAAUCAAACAAAUAUUUAUAUUUGUUUGCACUCAAAGAUCUAUAAACAUUUGUUUAUUUAUAGAUCUUUGUUUCAACUGACAAAACAGCUCUGUCUAUUGUGAACUGAAGGAAGUGAAUACUAAUAAAUAUGCAAAGAUAAAAAUGAACUUGAGUCGUCCAUAAACACCCCCUGAACGUCGAUAAUCCAAACUUAGUUGGAUAAUUCAAACUGAGAAAAAAAAUGUCGGCUGAAACUAAAAGUUGAACUCCUUUGGCGGAAAUGGAGAUCGAUCGGCAUGACGAAGACGCAUUUCAAGACAAGAAAUGAGAAAAGAAGAAAAAAAAAGAAAAUUUUUUUACAUGAAAAUAAAACACAAUCACUUUUUAAUGAUGAUUGAUUAGCAAUGUGUUAAAAAGCU